GUAGCAUACGCAGAUAGAGCGGUCUCUCUCGUUCAUUUGUUUUUGCUUUUGCUGAUUAAAUCUUUUGUCUUCAGAGAUCGUGUCUUGUCCGUGUAAGCGCUGAGCCGACAAAGUUGAAAAUCAGUGUCGCAUCGCACGUCAGGCUGACUAGUAAAAGAAAAUGUCUCCGAGGCUCACCAUUGAGAUGGCUCUUUUUCUGUUGGUGCUGGCCCUGGAUGUAUCAUACGGCGGCACCUUCUGUGAUAAGGGUCCUGAGGGGAUAUACUGUUUUGAGGACCUGAGUGGCUAUUAUAACUGUACCUUUGAUGAACAAGCCC